UAUUUCAUAGAGACUAGUAUCACAUUCAUAUCACAGGAUGCAACAACAUCGAUCUAUUCUUGUACCUGCCUCGUACAGCAUCAUAAAAUCCUGAUUGAUCAGUUAAAGCUUUAUCUGAAAUUGAACCUGUAAACAAUUCAAG